GGGAAGAUAAGAGACAAAUAUACAAUUUUUUUGUUUACCACUCCACACAGUUCAACUUGGAAGAUAGUUAAAAAUUAUAUCAAAGUCAAAGUAAUGAAGUAGAGUCUAAGCAAGCAAAAAAAGCUUUAAGCACCACUGCCACUAUGGGACUAGCAUCGUGUCCCCUCGACUGAGAAGUAUGCCUCAAGGUGUGUAAGAGUAGCAGCGCCACAACCACGAAGCACGUAGUAGUGCAACGCGUACUGGAAAACAUGGAAAAUAUAUAUAUAUAACACUCGGACUUGCAG
rnacentral:lncRNA from 1 species